rnacentral:lncRNA from 1 species
GGGGAUUUCCUUCAACACUUCAAUGACUUCAUUGUGCGUUCUUCUGCAAACUCCAAGGUUAAUCUGCCUUUAACCCCACUUCGUGCUAUAUAUUAAUUAGUAGGCUUUGGUCUGGAUAAUAGAUUAGAAAUUAACCCGAUUAAAAUUCCUCGUACAAUUUAACAAGACGCUUUAUUGCGUAAAAACUAAAACUAAAAGCUAAUGAUUACCCGAUUUAAUACGACCUACGAACCGAAUGAAUAUUUUCAAAUACUUGUGGUUACUGCCCUGGUCAAAACAGACAAUUGAAUAAUCUAUACCAAUAUUAUGGCAAUGUCUCCAAAUAGCCAAAAUGUUAAUUCAUGAGAACAUCAAUAAUCGAUACAUAAAUGAUUACCAAAAAUAGCCAAAAAGUUAAUUCAUGAGAACAUCAAUAAUCGAUACAUAAAUGAUUACCAAAAAUAGCCAAAAAGUUAAUUCAUGAGAACAUCAAUAAUCGAUACAUAAAUGAUUACCAAAAAUAGCCAAAAAGUUAAUUCAUGAGAACAUCAAUAAUCGAUACAUAAAUGAAGCCAUCAAAUGCUAAAUGUCAGCACGUACAGAAAAUUCAUGAACUCGUUCGUAUAAUCAGGGAGAGAAAAACAAGAAAGAAGAAUUCAAAAAACGCACAAAAUUCGCAUGUAAAUUGUAGUUUCACAGUGGAUAAAGCCAUACCAGAAAAUUCGCGAGGAAAAUUUGCAGAUCCAGAGAAAAAACAGAGUUAUCAGUUAGAGUUAGCGCCCGAGUUUACAUUGUUGGAGCGAGUUUCGCUUGGAGCUUUUGCAACGUAACACGUG